rnacentral:rRNA from 1 species
GAUGAACGCUAGCGGCGGGCCUAAUACAUGCAAGUCGAACGGUGUAGCAAUACACAGUGGCGCACGGGUGCGUAACACGUAUGCAACCUACCUUACAUUGGGGGAUAGCCUUUCGAAAGGGAGAUUAAUACCGCAUAAGACAGUAACUAGGCAUCUAGUAGCUGUUAAAGAUUUAUCGAUGUAAGCUGGGCAUGCGUCCAAUUAGUUAGUUGGCGAGGUAAUGGCUCACCAAGACGAUGAUUGGUAGGGGAACUGAGAGGUCAAUCCCCCACACUGGCACUGAGAUACGGGCCAGACUCCUACGGGAGGCAGCAGUAGGGAAUAUUGGGCAAUGGGCGCAAGCCUGACCCAGCCAUGCCGCGUGCAGGAAGAAGGCGUUAUGCGUUGUAAACUGCUUUUAUACAGGAAGAAACGACCCUUGCGAGGGGCAUUGACGGUACUGUAUGAAUAAGCGCCGGCUAACUCCGUGCCAGCCGCCACAGUAAGAC